CCAAUAAAACUUUAUUUACAAAAGCAGGUGGCCUCUGGUCUUAGCCCAGGAACCCUGGUUGGCUAAGGCCAGGGUUAAAUUGUUGUUUUAAUCUGUUUUCCUGGAAGGAAGGAGGAAGCACGUUUUCAUUUUUACUUCUCAGAAGUUACAUGAGCCCCUGAGGCUGCCCUCCUUACCGGGGACCCUCAUUCCACAGCACGGGGUGAGCUCUAUUGCUACGUGCGCAGCAUGAACAGCUCAUGAAGGCCAGCGGGGGAAGGGAUGGCCGGAGGUGGCACCAUUGUCAAGUGAGGACUUCAGCUACAUCAUAAAGGAUGCUAUUUAGUUAGAAUCACCGAGAGCUCCAUGCAGGUUGUGCCAUUCCAUCCUCCAACACGUCUAUGUACUUCCGUAGCCACGGAAAGGGAUGUUGCCCUUACUUCGCAUCAUGUGCUCAUGAAGUUAAUAAGGAAGUAAAAGAUUUCAAGAAUCUUGUUAGCAUCGUGCUGGGGGAUACCAGCGGGUCUUGGAAAAGAAGAAGCCUUUGCUUUCUACAGUGUCGUGAUGCAGGAUGCCUGCAACAACUCCAAGUCUGAACUAGCAGCGGCUCACCAAGACGUUAAAGGAUCUCCAUGGCUGUACCCAUCGCAUGAAAGACCCGUGCAGAACAGCAGAUUUUAAUUAGAAUUGGGAAAGAGCAUUUCUGUUUAAGUAAAAUGAAAACACAGGUGGUUAAGUGAGUUCACUCUGAGUCUAAACCCCAAAACACUAUUUAAAGAGUAAAGUGGCUAAAGGAUUUUGUUUUUCUGGUCAGCUUUACCCCAGGUAGAAACAAUAGUCCUACCACUGCUGUCAGCAUGGGGUGAUCAUGCGCAUCUGGCUCCAGGCCAGCCAUUCUAUGCUUUCAUAUUCUCUAACUGGAGAAAAAGGUUCUCCAGCAAAAUGUCAAGGAGUCUUCGAGUGUAAUAUCACUCAUGCCUUAUUUUUUCCCUUAGCUAU
rnacentral:lncRNA from 12 species